AACGAACGCUGGCGGCGCGCCUAAUACAUGCAAGUCGAGCGAGAAGACGUAGCAAUACGUUUGUAAAGCGGCGAACGGGUGAGGAAUACAUGGGUAACCUACCCUCGAGUGGGGAAUAACUAGCCGAAAGGUUAGCUAAUACCGCGUACGCUCCUCGGACUUCGGUUCAGGGAGGAAAGCGAUACCGUGGGUAUCGCGCUCUUGGAUGGGCUCAUGUCCUAUCAGCUUGUUGGUGGGGAACGGCUCACCAAGGCUUCGACGGUAGCUGGUCUGAGAGGACGAUCAGCCACACUGGCACUGCGACACGGGCCAGACUCCUACGGGAGGCAGCAGUAAGGAAUAUUGCGCAAUGGGCGAAAGCCUGACGCAGCGACGCCGCGUGGGGGA
rnacentral:rRNA from 1 species